UCUUUUUUACUUGUAAUCAGUCAUUGCUUUAAGCACCAUUCAUUAAUUUAUUAGAUAUCUAUAGGUACACUGCAUCGUACUGUCUGAAUUGAAUAUUUAAAACUAUUUAAACGAUAGUUUUUUAGUCGCGACAAUGGACGGGAAAAGUGAAACAACAAAAAUGCCUGAAGUAGACACCAAUAACGAACUGGCUACACUGAAAGAUUGGCUGUGUAAACAACCUCAUUUGCCACAUGAAGUCGAUGACAUCCUUCUCCUUCGUUUCCUGACCAGCUGUCGCUACAGUCUCGAGCGUGCCAAGAGGACCAUUGACUUGUUCUUCACCAUCCGCGCCAAUGGACCCGAACUGUUCUGCAAACGGGACCCCUGGUCUCCCGAGAUCAGACGUGUCUUUGAAAUCACGGAUAUGCUUCCUCUUCCACACAAGACGAAAGAAAACUACAAAAUCUUCAUCUACCGUCUGAAUAACCCUGAUCUGGACCUGUUUAACUUCGUGGAUGCCGUUAAGACCUUCUUCAUGUUGGCUGACACCAGGCUCACUGAGGAUCAUGAGAUACCUGCUGGAGAGAUCCCCAUUUUUGACGCAGCUAACGUGUCUAUUAAGUUUAUUGGGAAAGUCAACCUUUCCGCUCUCAGAAAAUACAUGAUGUACACACAGGAAGCGAUGCCAAUCCGGCUAAAACAAGUGCACGUGAUAAAUGCUCCAUCUUACAUCGGCAAGAUUUUCGCUUUGUGCAAGCCGUUUUUGAAGACUGAAGUUUCUAAACUGAUAAAAUUCCACGAGCCCAACACAGACACGUUGUACAAAGAUAUACCACAAGAUCUCCUACCUACAGAAUUUGGGGGUAAAGCUGGGUCCAUUGAAUCUAUUAAACGGGAGUGGAUCAAGAAGAUGGAAGCUAAAAGGGAUUGGUUCUUAACCAAUGACAAGAGAUGGGCGGUUGACGAGGCUCUGAGACCUUCAGGCAACCAUGAUGACAGGGUCAAUUCCGUGAAGGAGCUACCUGGUUCCUUCCGAUCAUUAGCUUUAGAUUGAUUAUUUGUAUAAAGCCUACAUAUAGUAUUAUUUUGAUAAAGCAACCUCUUUUGGAUAUUGAUUAAAUAUUUCAAACUUUUUCAGUGUUUUUGCAUAGAAGUUAAAUAGACGUUUGACAAGAUUUUUUCUAAAAUAUUUUUUGUAAUAAUAAUUUAACUUUUUUGUUGAAAAAGUCGUGGUGGCCUAGUGGGUAAAGGACCAACCUCAAGUAUGAGGGCGCGGGUUCGAUCCCAGGUCAGGCAAGUACCAAUGCAACUUUUCUAAGUUUGUAUGUACUUUCUAAGUAUAUCUUAGACACCAUUGGCUGUGUUUCGGAUGGCACGUUAAACUGUAGGUCCCGGCUGUCAUUGAACAUCCUUGGCAGUCGUUACAGGUAGUCAGAGGCCAGUAAGUCUGACACCAGUCUAACCAAGGGGUAUCAGGUUGCCCGGGUAACUGGGUUGAGGAGGUCAGAUAGGCAGUCGCUUCUUGUAAAGCACUGGUACUCAGCUGAAUCCGGUUAGACUGGAAGCCGACCCCAACAUGAUUGGGAAAAGGCUCGGAGAAU
rnacentral:misc_RNA from 1 species